GUGGAGCAUGUGGUUNAAUUCGAAGAUACGCGCAGAACCUUACCAACACUUGACAUGUUCGUCGCGACUCUAAGAGAUUAGAGUUUUCGGUUCGGCCGGACGAAACACAGGUGCUGCAUGGCUGUCGUCAGCUCGUGUCGUGAGAUGUUGGGUUAAGUCCCGCAACGAGCGCAACCCUCACUUUUAGUUGCCAUCAUUAAGUUGGGCACUCUGAAAGAACUGCCAGUGAUAAGCUGGAGGAAGGUGGGGAUGACGUCAAGUCCUCAUGGCCCUUACGUGUUGGGCUACACACGUGCUACAAUGGCAUCUACAACAGGAAGCAAAACGGCAACGUUAAGCAAAUCCCGAAAAGAUGCCUCAGUUCGGAUUGCACUCUGCAACUCGAGUGCAUGAAGCUGGAAUUACUAGUAAUCGUGGAUCAGCGUGCCACGGUGAAUGCGUUCCCGGGUCUUGUACACACCGCCCGU
rnacentral:rRNA from 1 species